rnacentral:rRNA from 1 species
UAGGGAAUUUUCCACAAUGGGCGAAAGCCUGAUGGAGCAAUGCCGCGUGCAGGAUGAAUGCCUUCGGGUUGUAAACUGCUUUUAUGAGGGAAGAUUGUGACGGUACCUCAUGAAUAAGCUUCGGCUAACUCCGUGCCAGCAGCCGCGGUCAUACGGAGGAAGCAAGCGUUAUCCGGAAUUAUUGGGCGUAAAGAGAUGCGUAGGCGGCUCAUCAAGCGAAGUGUGAAAUCGUGUGGCUCAACCACACGGC